UUCCUACGGGAGGCAGCAGUAGGGAAUAUUGCACAAUGGGGGAAACCCUGAUGCAGCGACGCCGCGUGGGCGAAGAAGUAUUUCGGUAUGUAAAGCCCUAUCAGCAGGGAAGAAGAAAUGACGGUACCUGAGUAAGAAGCACCGGCUAAAUACGUGCCAGCAGCCGCGGUAAUACGUAGGGGGCAAGCGUUAUCCGGAUUUACUGGGUGUAAAGGGGGCGCAGACGGCGAUGCAAGCUAGGAGUGAAAGCCCGGGGCCCAACCCCGGGACUGCUCUUGGAACUGCGUGGCUAGAGUGCAGGAGGG
rnacentral:rRNA from 1 species